UUAGAUGUAAACAUCGGUUGCCCCACUACCCGCAACCCGCCAGAGAACUACAAGUGAAAAACUUAAAACUCUAAGGACUUGACGGUGUCCUACCCAUACUAGAGGAGCCUGUCCUAUAAUCGAUACCCCACGUUCCACCUUACCCCCUCUCGCUACUCAACCUAUAUACCGCCGUCGUCAGCUUACACUGUGAACGAACAACCGUAAGCAAAAUCAUCAUACAUAAAAACGACAGGUCAAGGUGUAGUUUAUGGGGGGGCAGCGAUGGGCUACAUUUUCUUUAUUAGAAAACACCAGCCGCACCAUGAAAACCUGUGCCAAAAGGUGGAUUUAGAAGUAAACCUCGGCAAGAUGCGCCAAUUUGAAUAAGCCCUAGGACGC
rnacentral:rRNA from 1 species